GUACUCACUUCAGCACCACAUAUACUAAAAUUGGAAUGACAGAGAUUAGCAUAUACCCUGAGGAAGGGUGACAUGCAAAUUCAUGAAACAUUCCAUAUAUUU